rnacentral:tRNA from 1 species
UGCAUCGGCCUGGAAUCGAACCCAGGCCGCCCGCGUGGCAGGGGAGCAUUUUACCACGGAACUAUCGAUGC